rfam:Triticum aestivum genome assembly, contig: Triticum_aestivum_CS42_TGACv1_scaffold_343246_4DL
UUGGUACUCCCUCCGUCCCAAAAUUCUUUUCUUAGAUUUUGCUAAUACUAAAACGUGACUUGAUACAUCCGUAUUUAGACAAAUCUAAGACAAGAAUUUUGGGACGGAGGGAGUAAUUU